rnacentral:rRNA from 1 species
GACGUAGGGCGCGAGCGUUGUCCGGAUUUAUUGGGCGUAAAGAGCUCGUAGGCGGCUCGUUGCGUCGGCUGUGAAAACCCGCGGCUCAACUGUGGGCUUGCAGCUGAUACGGGCGGGCUGGAGUUCGGUAGGGGAGACUGGAAUUCCUGGUGUAGCGGUGAAAUGCGCAGAUAUCAGGAGGAACACCUGCGGCGAAGGCGGGUUGCUGGGCUGACACUGACGCUGAUGCGCGAAAGCCAGGUGGGAGCGAACGGG